ensembl:lncRNA
GGAUGGUUGUAGCCCAGGCUGUGCCUGUUCAAGUGCCAUAGCCUGGAACUCCCAGGUAAACAAAGAUGCGCUACAGGGGCUUUGAUGUUGGAAGUGGAAGGGGUUCUGUGGACUAACUGUAAAAAGAACACUACCACAGUAGCUUCUACGCUGUGCAGGCAGAUAAUUUUGUGAAUGAGCAUCGAUACUGUGAAUGUACCUUAAAAGUGGCCAGCCUCACGUGCUUGAAAUAAGAGGAUCUCCAGUGUCUGCUGCCAGUGAGAACACCUUGAUGGGCUCCUGAUGUGAGCAGAGCAUUUUUGCAUGUCUCAUGUUGUAUGCGUAGCGAGGGAAACGAGGUGUGACGCGUGCAGGUUCCCUAUGCCACCUGUGUGUUAUGCCACCUGUGUGUGCCAAGUGUAGCUUCGUGAUUGGAGGAAACACUUGUAUUUAAACACGUAGCCUAUAGCAAUUAACGCCAUUUGCCUCACUUACUCCUGGGGUCUGCGUGAGCAUCUGGCCCCGACCUGGUAAAGGGUCGGUUUUGCCCAGCAGUAAGCCCUACACGUGGACAGAGGACGAACACCGGACGAGCGAACGGAGACCACAUGCAACAAGUGGUGACCCCGACGUGAUCUGUCUGCUGAGGGUGGCUGCCCGGCGUGCCCGUGACGCGGAGAAGAGCCUGUGAGGUGGCGGCAGGUCGCGCACGGAAGACGUACUGCGGUUAAGAGCCUGCGAGGUGGCGGCAGGUCGCAUGCGUAACAAUGGACCAAGUCAUUAAGGUACUUGUGCAGUUUUGUAAGGACUACUGUGGAAAAUCUACUCCUUCCCGGAAGGAGAUCGCGACAGUUUUGUCGCUAUUAAAUGAGCUGGGGGAGCUGGACUCUCCCUGCCACAUUUUGGAUUCGAGUAGGUGGGACUUGCUCACCUCGGCGCUAUGCCAGCGCGCCAUGGCCAGUCAGAAGGCUACGGAACUUAAAACGUGGGGACUGAUGUUAGGAGCCCUUAAGGCGGCCAGGGAAGAGGACAAACUUGGCGCGGUCAUGAGCGGGGAGGGAGCUUCGGGGAGCGGGUCUUUGGAGUUUUGCAGGUCCGGCGCUCAGACCACAGCGAAAAAAAACGGCGACGGAGAGAGAGGAAGAUUGCGAGAAGGACAAAGAAGAGUCGCAGAGGCUCGGGGGGGGUGCAACGACGCCGACGGCCCCUCCUAAUUCUAUUGCGCUGUCGCCGCCCCCGCCCUACCCUAAGCAGCCGUUAUAUCCUUCCUUGGCAACGACAUCGGAGCAGGGGGCGGGACCAUCCCCAAAAGGAAAGGAGGAGGGGAGACUUAAGCUUACUGAUUGGGGGCAGAUCAAAGAGGAAGUGGCACAGAAAGGCCUGGCGGCAACUUAUACACUCCCAGUUGUUGUCUCAGAGGAGGGAGGCCCAGUCUGGGUCCCGUUGGACCCAAAGGGGGUAGCAAGGAUGAUUGAGGCAGUAGAAAAGAAAGGGCUGAAAUCGCCAUUGACGAUGAAUGCCCUUGAGGCCCUCACAGCAUCGGGCCCAAUGCUGCCUUAUGAUAUUGAAAAUUUAAUGCGCAUGGUGUUGAAACCAGUGCAGUAUACGCUCUGGAGAGAGGAGUGGCAUACCAAAUUAAAACAAAUGCUGAUUACGGCGCAGGGUGAUCAAAGAAACCCCAUAUAUGGGUCCGAUAUACAGAGAUUAACGGGCAAUGCACCAGGUCUGCUGACCCCUCAAGCACAAGUUUGUCAACUUAGACCAGGAUAGUUGAUAGCGACUACGGACGCUGCAAUAGACGCGUUCCGAAAGCUUGCAAGGAGUGCUGAGCCCACUACUCCGUGGACAGAGAUCGCGCAAGGCCCCACAGAGCCGUUUCAGGAGUUUGCAGACAGACUAAUUAAGGCAGUGGAAGGCUCGGAUCUGCCCAGAGCAGUUCACGGUCCCGUCAUCCUGGAUUGCUUGUAUCAGAAGUCCAGUGAAGGGGUGCAGGGGAUUUUGCGAGUGGCGCCGGGGAGGCUCCAAACCCCUGGUGAGGCCAUCAAGUAGGUCCUAGAUAAGCAAAAGGCCUGUCCGUCUGUGGCAGGGGAGGUAGCUGCGGCGGUAGCAGGAGUGAUGAUGGCCUGUAGGGAGGCGGACCAUCAUAGUGCGGACCGACAGUUAGGACCUUGCUUUAAAUGUGGUCAGGCGGGCCACAUUAGGGCCCAGUGCAGAAUGGGUGCGGGUGGAAGCGUAACAUGUCAGCAGUGCGGGCGGAGGGGUCAUACAGCACCACAAUGCAGGGCCCGUAGGCCUCCACGCCAGGGAAAUAACAACGGGAGACAGUCCGAGCACGGUGACUUCAUUUUUCGACCUAUGCAGGCCCCUGACCUAAGUUUACCCAUGGCGGCGCUGUCUCUAAGUACCCAUGAGCGCCCUCUGGUGAAAGCCACUAUUUCUUGCACCAACCUCCCGCUGGAUUUUCAAGGCCCUCGAUCUAUCUUUGUCACUGCCCUCAUAGAUUCCGGCGCCGACGUUACUGUGGUCGCGGAAACAGAAUGGCCAUCCUCGUGGCCCGCGGAGGCCUCGCAGUCUAUUUUGGGGGUUGGAGGGGCGACCCCCUCACGCCGGUCUACCAAUGAGGUACAAGCGGUUGUGAUUAACAGGGAUGGCUCCUUAGAGAAACCGGCGUUGCUUACACCAUUGGUGGCGCGUGUCCCCGGAACUCUUCUGGGGCGGGAUUUCUUGCAACAGAUAGGCAUUCCACAGUAUCCUCUGAACACCUUCAAGGGAUACGUCACUAAUGUUACUGCUUGCGAUAACGACGCCGAUUUAGCCAGCCAAACAGCAUGCUUGAUACAGGCUCUAAAUACAACCCUCCCUUGGGACCCCCAAGAAUUGGAUAUUUUAGGGUCCCAGAUGAUCAAGAACGGAACAACACGUACGUGUGUUACCUUUGGUUCGGUGUGCUAUAAAGAGAACAAUCGCAGUAGAGUCUGUCACAAUUUUGAUGGGAAUUUUAAUGGGACUGGUGGGGCAGAAGCAGAAUUGCGUGACUUCAUAGCAAAAUGGAAAAGUGAUGACCUUCUUAUAAGACCCUAUGUCAACCAAUCAUGGACGAUGGUAAGUCCAAUAAAUGUAGAGAGUUUUUCAAUAAGUUGUAGAUAUUGUGGAUUCACCAGUAACGAGACUCGUUACUAUAGAGGGGACCUUUCUAAUUGGUGUGGUUCAAAAAGGGGAAAAUGGUCAGCGGGGUACAGCAACGGGACAAAAUGUUCCAGCAACACAACAGGUUGCGGUGGUAAUUGCACGACGGAAUGGAAUUAUUAUGCAUAUGGGUUUACCUUCGGGAAACAGCCAGAGGUGUUGUGGAACAAUGGGACUGCUAAGGCACUCCCCCCAGGUAUUUUCUUGAUUUGUGGGGACAGGGCUUGGCAAGGCAUCCCGCGUAAUGCCUUGGGAGGGCCCUGUUAUCUAGGACAAUUGACUAUGCUCUCUCCUAACUUUACCACCUGGAUAACAUAUGGGCCGAACAUUACGGGUCACUGCCGUAGCAGGCGCUCGCUGAGUCGUCUCUCGCCUGGCUGCGGUGAUGAGCUACAGCUAUGGAGUGUGACAGCCCGGAUAUUUGCUUCUUUCUUUGCUCCUGGUAUAGCCGCAGCACAGGCCUUAAAGGAGAUCGAACGAUUGGCAUGUUGGUCGGUUAAGCAAGCAAAUUUAACAUCAUUAAUAUUGAAUGCGAUGCUGGAGGAUACGAGCAGCAUCCGGCACGCAGUGUUGCAGAAUUGAGCAGCCAUCGAUUUCUUACUCCUGGCGCAGGGACACAGGUGUCAAGACGUGGAAGGGAUGUGUUGCUUCAAUCUCAGCGAUCACAGUGAGUCCAUUCACAAGGCGCUCCAAGCCAUGAAGGAACAUACAGAGAAGAUACGGGUGGAAGAUGAUCCCAUAAGGGACUGGUUUACGCGCACGUUUGGUGAUCUAGGAAGGUGGCUCGCGAAAGGUGUUAAGACGCUACUGUUUGCCUUGCUUGUCAUAGCCUGUCUAUUAGCUAUCAUUCCAUGUAUAAUCAAGUGCUUUCAGGAUUGUCUAUCGAGAACAAUGAAUCAGUUUAUGGAUGAACACAUAAAAUAUCAUAGAAUUAGGGAGCAGUUGUAGGUUCCGAACGCGAUGUGACGGGAGCUAUCGGCAUAGGGAGGGGGAGAUGUUGUAUGCGUAGCGAGGGAAACGAGGUGUGACGUGUGCAGGUUCCCUAUGCCACCUGUGUGUUAUGCCACCUGUGUGUGCCAAGUGUAGCUUCGUGAUUGGAGGAAACACUUGUAUUUAAACACGUAGCCUAUAGCAAUUAACGCCAUUUGCCUCACUUACUCCUGGGGUCUGCGUGAGCAUCUGGCCCCGACCUGGUAAAGGGUCGGUUUUGCCCAGCAGUAAGCCCUACAUGUGGACAGAGGACGAACACCGGAUGAGCGAACGGAGACCACAUGCAACAGUCUCAAAGGGAAUUCCUAAAGGUUUCUUCAUCUUUAAUGAGAAAAAUGGCCAUGCAGUGCUCUUGAACCAACUUACUUCCAUACCUAGUCAGGUCAAAGCAAAGUUCUGUCUGCACUGUCUUACCUGGAGCCUACUGGAAGACCUUCUUGCUACAGCUACAAGAAGCACUGUGUCCACAGGCUUUCAUUUUGAUGGAGGAAUUCAAACUCCUGGAGUGCAUUCGGAGAAGUUUCCUGGCCUAGCUAUCAGACAAACCAACCAGAGGAGAAGCAUUACCUGACCAGACACUCACCAUACAAAGGAGAUCAUUAAAUAUAUUAAGAGGUACUGUGAGCUGUAGUGAUAGUGCUCUGAUUAUGUUUGUGAUCUCAAGGAAUAUGGGCAUGGCAAAGAACAGAGACAGGACUCCGCACUUCAGAAGAGUGAUAUUCCAGCUGUUUAAGGAAUUACUGGAUGAGAUCCCCUGGGAAGCUGUCCUCGGAGACAGUGGAGCAGAGCAGAGCUGGCAGCUCUAUAAGGACACCUUUCUGACAACAUAAGAGCUCUCUGUCCCUCAGCAUAAGAAAUCAAGAAGAGGAGGGAGGAAACCAGCAAGAUUGAGUGAGGACCUGCUGGUCAAAAUGAGAAAUAAGAAGGAAAUUCACAGUUAAUGGAAUCAGGAAUGAGUGGCCUGGAAAGAAUACAGGAUUCCAUCUAGACAUGAAGAGAUGGGAUCAGGAAAGAUAAGGCACAGAUGGAACUGCAUUUGGUGAGGGAUGGGAAAAAUAAGAUGGUGGAAUAGAACCUCCUGGAAGCUAUCUUAAGACACAUGUGAGGCAAGGUGAUCUGUGACAAAGAACAUGGUCUUGUCAUGGGCAGAUCACACCUGACCGAUCUGGUGGCCCUCUACGAUGGAGUGUUGGCAUCAGUAGAAGAAAGAGGAGAAACUGGUAUCAUCUAACUGGAAUUCAGCAAAGUAUUUGAUACGAUCCCACACACCAUCCUUAUCCCUAAAUUGGGGAGAUAUGGACUUGAAGGCUGGACUAUUCAGUGGAUAAGGAAUUGGUUGUACAGCGUCAGCCAGAGGGUUGGGGUCAAUGGCUUCAGGUGAUGAGUGGUGUCCCCCAGGGGUCUGUCCUGGGACCGGUGCUUUUCAACAUCUUUAUCAACAACCUAGACAGUAGGAUUAAGAACACUCUCAGCAAGUUUGCUAAGCUGAGUGGUGCAGUUCAUAGAACAGAAAUAAGGGUUGCCAUCCAGAGGGACCUGGGCAAGUUUGAAAAAUUUUGAGAAACUCCUUGUAGGAAGUUUAUGCAUGAUAAAUGAUUAUGAUAUCUGAGUUCCAAUUGGGGAACACUGCUGUAUUUGUGAUGACUUGCUAGGAGUGUGUCAUUUUAGAUCUUGGAGACCUGUCUUUUGUAAUGGGAGCCUGCAAAUGCCCCCAACAAAUUCUUGUCACUGGAGCUGAACAGAUCAUCUGCAUAGUGAACUGUUAGUGCAUAAACUGAUGUUUCCAGAUACCUGCGGUAGAUAUCAAUUAAACCACAGAAAUCUAAUUGUACUUUACAAGAGCUGUAGCACUGUACUGACAAUUAAUUUCAAAUACAUUAAUGGACUUAGAGAUAGGUGCCUGUACGACCACGUGGAAAUCCAAGAGCAGUACUACCUUGAAUUCUUUCUCAAAAAUGAGAGUUAUUGUGGCCACGUUGUUCCUUGGGCUGUGACCCUUACAGUGAUCUUACAUUGGUUGAUGGUUGUCUUUCUGAUCUGAGAAAAGAUAAACUAGAUAAAAUUCCUAAACAAAUAAGAGUAGCUUACUUUUGUGUUGGAUUUUACAUGAUACAGAUGUCCUUCUUACAUUCCCUACUUCCUUUUGCUUGUUCCUAACAUGUGCAUAACAAUAUGACAGCCAUAAAUUGUCAUGACACUUAAACAUAAAGCACCAUUUAAGUCCUUUAUCUUAUCUGCUACUUGGUUCAGGUAAAUAAGAAUAAUUAAUGGCAGCUACACUACCUAUAAUCGUUGUUAUGGCUCUGAAUUAGCUGAUUUUCUGUUCCAGAACCCCAGGGUGAGAGGCAGAAUGCUGGGGAGCAUGAGGGAGAACUUACCGAGUGUCAGCUGAGAUUCUGUGUAUGGAAAUGGAUGUUAGUGAAGGUUAGGACCUAGGACUAGGACAAGGACUGCUAUCGCUACUGCUUUAUUUCUUGUAGUCUGCAGUGCAGAAACAGUGAGCAAUCUGAAAGACUGACUGGCAGUGAGAAUCAUAGGGAAGAGGAAAAAAAGGGACAAGGAACAUAUAAUGCUCCAACCCUCCUCCCCACCUCCAAGUUAAUUCAGUGUGGGCUUUUCUUGAUCAAAGUUCCUACCCCACAAUAUAUUGUAAUUUAUGUGUGUCUGAGGCGUACAGUAAUGCUGAGCUAAUGUGGUUUUGUACUUAAGUAAACAUGUUUUCAGAGUUGCUAAUGCAUGACAGAAAGUGCUGGAUCGAAGUCUUUCCUGAAUUAGAAGAAAGAAAAACAGCUAUUAUAAAAGGAGAAGUGUGCCUGACUGAGUAAUGCUGUAUCAGAAAGUCUGCAAACAAGUAUCUUAGUCUUUGAUAAGGAUCUAUUUUUAUUAAUUCCUGGGCUGAAAACCAAAUAUCCCUUUUUAACCUGGGAUGUUCUGUAGAGCACACAGCUAGUGCUUUUCAAAUUUUUAUCCUGUUUCGUAAGGGUGGUAAAAGACAAUCCAUUUCAGGCUUUAGGAAUGUAAGACACAAACAUCCCAAAUAGGUUUUUAAUUAAACAUAUAUUACCUUAGUUCAUGAUAAAAGAGUAAACAGUGAUAUGUACUGUUAUGGGUAGGAUAUAAAUCAAAUACAACUACUAUAUUUCCAUAUCUAGUGGAGUCUCAGCAUUUUUUUAAUCUGUUUAUCAUGCAACUGAUUAAUAUAUCAUUAAACAAAAAAGGCAUGUUAUUUCUCAUUGUGAAAGGUCCUUUCAUAAUGUUCUUCUGGAAAUCUACUUGGGUAGAGGAGUAUAUCUGCAUACGUGACAGCACAGACAUGAGGUCUAAGUCCUACCAUUAGUGGCAUUUUCCUGCCAUUCUCUUAAAAUGAGAUAGUGAAAUAAAAUACUGACUUUGUUUGAUGUAUUUUUUAUGUAUGUUCUAAAGCACUUCAUCUGAUAAACUAUCAUGAGAAAUGGACCUUCCAUAGCAUUUCCUAAUACAGCACAUGGUUUGGAUCUAUAAAGUAAACCACAAUAAGAAAACCACGUGUUAACAGUGUGGGAACACCAAGAAGAGAAACCUUUCUUGCUGUGUUUUCAAUAUGAGAUUUCUAGAUAGACUAGCACCACUGAUGUCUCUUUCAUCAGUGAGAUAGAUCCCCAUGCUUGGUCAGAGUAACAAAGACAGCUUGAACCAGAAAAGUUAGAAAAUGGAGUGAAGUAUGGGGAAGGAAGCUUUGAUGUAAGCUGAUGAGCUCAGUGGGUAUUUCAUGGGUUCAUGUGUAUAGUAUCCUCAUACUAUAAUGAUGGAGAAGUUUGAAACUGAAAAACAAACAUAUCCAACAAAUCUCAGAGUAAAAACCCAAGUGGCAGAAUCCCUACUUUCCCAGAGUUAUGAGAAACACCGAGUUACACGCUGAGGAUCCAGACAUCAAGCCUCAGACAGCAUUAGACGAUUUCAAAUAAAAGCUAUCCAGUGCAAAAAUAACAGUGAUGGCUUAAGAAGUCCUUCAACCUUCAAAUCACUAGGGAAAAGAGGAGAUUAUUUUGGAGAUGUAAUACUGUGCGCUCAAUCUGAUUUUUCCAUUCUUCUCUGGACAGCCACUGCUAAAGGCAAGAUAAAUUUACCUGAAAGACCUUCUAAGUUACCUUGUUGGCUUGUUUUUAUCUUCUUUUUUCCUAAAUGUAAGUGUGAAAACAAGUAACACCUCACAAUUUGCAGACAGGGAAGAAAUGAGUGUAAAGAAAAUGCAGCAGAUGUGAGCCAAGACAGCGUCAGCUAGAGCUUCCUCCUUGAGUGUAGACCUGAUGCCAGCAGACGGGUAGUAAUUUUGUGACAGUAUAAAAACUCAUAGUCACUGAGAGGGUACAAGCACUUCCUAAAUACACACACACAAAACACAAUCAAAUCAUGAGAGUGGCUGGACCACAAGAUUAUCCACUGCUUGAAGCGAAUGAAGUCAAUGUGAGAGAUAAGAGUAUUCCGACUUAAGCACAUGCUUAAAUUUAUUAAGGCACUUAAAGUUAGGUGCGUGCUCAAGUGCUGUUACUUGAAUGACAAGUGGGUUUAAAGCAUUUUCCCAAGUUGGGACUUUGCAACAUUGAUAGUCAGCUAUGCAACUGGUGAAACUUAAAAUAGAUGCAUGCACACACAAAAAUGCAAAAAAGAGAGUUUCUUUUUAUGUCUGUCUGCUAUGCUUAGUGGGCUUUCUUGGCUAAGUCUGAGCUAAAUAUUACUGAAAAUAGCAUAGUACUGUAGUUAUUUCAAAGCACUGUCUGUAUUUGUUCUGUGCACUGGGUGGGCAGGAAGCUUCAUUUCAUAAAUCACUUUCAACGAGACAGUAGACUAUAAAAAGGGAGCGUUUUUUUCCCUUCAGUGUUUUUCAUUCUCAAGGUUCUGAUCUGGUACAGCCUACAUACUGGGAAAAGUUCAAAAAAUGUUUCCCACUGCUCUGCAGACCUUCCCUUGCACACAAGGGAUCUAGGGAACCACCAGCAGGCACCCCGUGCUAGUGAGUCCCCCAGGUCACGGUGCUUAACUUGCUAUGAGGCAUUUGUCAGCAAAACUGCCGAAGCAUCGUCCCAUUCCCAGCUCCAUGGAAAGGCCUCCACAAGAAGUUUCACAGCGCACUGUCUACACAGGGAACCUGUCUGGUCAAACCAUUGUCCAGCAAAAGAAAACAGGUUGGUUUUCAUGGGAGACGUGCAGAGAUGUGCAGGAAGGAGCAGUAGGGGAAAAGGGGUGAGGAAGAGGGGGGGAGAAAAGCUCGAAUGAUCCAUCAUUUCUCCUUAUAAAUUAUUUGUUAAAACUUUGUUAGAUUGAGCUUUACACUCAAAAAGGAGCCAAAUGCUCCUUGUGGUACUUACUGGGAACCAAAGGGUAAGAGAGACAGAUAUAGUCAUUCACCUGCAGCAAGGGAAAAGUUGCUGCCUGAUUCAACCCACUGAGUCACAACUUUUCCAUUUAAUAUUAAUAAAAAUGGGGUUCCGCACACCAGUACCUAAAAUGCGCCCCUCAGUUUUGGCACUAUCUGUACAUGGGUUUCUAAAGUACUACAGAGAAAUAGUAUCACUGAGUGAGUGGGCUCUACUUAGGUUGGUUGUUUCUCCCCAGCCAGCCGAACUUCUACAGAACAGGGUUUAGGAAGCUCAGGAAAUUCACACCUGCUACAUGUCACACCAAACAUAAUACAGGAACAGCCAUACCGAGUCAGGGCCUCAAAUCAUCCUUUUAAGUCUCUGUUUGUGACUGUCCCCAGAGCUGAAGGCCUCAAUAAAGCACAACCAGCAAUUUUAGCAGAAGCCUUUCCCUGGGCUGCCCUCCCAUCUAUUGGCACUCCACAGCUCACCAGUCUCCUGACCUAAAAGUUGCAAACAAGCUGCUUGCUGUUUCCCACCCAGAAAGCUUCACACUGUUUUGGAACAGCACAUGUCUUCCAUGUUUGCAGUAAGUCCCCAUGCCAGGUCCAAAGCAGGACUCACUGUGGACUCGCUCUGCAUUUGGUGUCAGUGGGUUUAGAAACACAUUCCUCAAGUGCAGCACACUACUAGGGUUCUUGCAGUUCAGGGAUUAAAACAGCUGCAAAGGCUCACUCUGAUCAGAGUGAAUCUAUUUUAUGUAUUCUCCAAGAAGUUUAAUCUUCUAUUUUUUUAAAGAACAGAUUGCUCUCAUUUUGGCAGAAAAACUUGUGUAAGGAGCUCUGGGACAAACAAUAGCAAACUUGGAAUGCUUAAUUUUGAAGCAGGAUUUACUAUUCUUUUUACCCUACAAACUCAGUCUAUGAAGGGGUAAAACAUGGUUGCUUAAAAUAAUUGUAAUUACUCCUCCAGUUGAAUCCAAUCAGGUGGAAUGGAUACUUAAGCAGAGUGUUAAUUAUGAUACCACCGAUGCUAGAGAAAGAAACCUAACUAAAAUCUAAGGCUACGUUCAGUUUACUGCAUGGAUUACACACAGGAUUACACUUUAAAACCACUGCAAGGUUGAAUGAUUUGUUUCAAUCCAAAUACCAUUUUUUUGCACAGUAUUAAGGGAAAUUUUGGAACUGGUAAGCAAGGUAGUCCACAGGAUUGUCCGCAGAGUACUUUGAAUUUGCAAGUAACCAUUUGUAAAUACCAUUUUGUAGACACCAAAACAGAAGCAGCAGCUGGACAUUGAACCUAAAUUAUUUUCAGUUAGGCUGAUGCAAGCAUGCAUACUGCUUUCGUUAGCUGAGACUACUCCAGCAUGUAAGACAACUUGAAGAGAGUUCAUGGCAGAUUACCACCCUUGAAGUUUAGAUUAAUGCUCCAUAUUUAGAACAAAGAUGCACUGGAGGAAUAAUUUUUAAAAAAUUAUUCCAACUCCAGCUUUCUAUGAUUCUAACUACUAGCAACCAUUAGCAACUUGCAAGGCUUGCAGGAAUUCUCAGUCUGAAUGCAACACAACUCCAAAGCUUUUCCUUCUGCAUGGCAGUAGUACUCACUGACCUCAGCCAGAAUUUCUGAGGUUCUCUACUGUUGUUGAGAUCUCUCUUUGUUGCAUUAACUGAUUCUGCCUCAAAAGGGAAAGUGCCCUUUAUAGGCAGAUUAAAACUUUCAAUUCUCUGUGGUAAUUAUUAAAUGAAUCAUGAAACUAAGGCUGCCAGCUGUGCCACGUUAAAUUGCACUCUCCCACGUUCAACAUUCUCUUGCUGAGCUUAGCUCAGAAAGUUUGUCAUUGGAUUUCCAUGAAUUUUCCAAGUAUUGAAGUUUGCUUUUAAAUUCUCUUGCAAUCAUGCAAUCCACACAAUAAGACUAAGCACUGUAAUUUGAUUAACAGAAAAUGAAAAUGAGCUAUCUAGAAAACAGUUUUAGUGGUGAUAUAUUGGCUAACUUCUGUGUGGCUCAUUUUGCAUCACUGUGCUCAGAAAUAAAAUGAAGUCUUUGAAAAUUAAAGCCAGAAAAAUCUCGCCCCAAACCAAGACUCUGAAAUGUAAAAUUAUUAGUUCAAGCUGAGUGAUAAAUGGCAGAAGUUUUCUGUUUUCCACAAUGGUGUAAACAGCUAGUUCAGCAGUGUUGUUGCUAUUGUUACGUAUUUAAAGUUGAAACCUGCUAUUAUAUAUCACAUUACAAAAAAGAGCUCUAGGUUAGACAACAUUUCAGCUUUUCUGUUCCUUAGACUUGGAUCUCAGGCCUAAAGGGAAUAUAUGUAAGACUGUAGGUUAUCACAUUUUACAUAAUAAUUUUGUCCCGUAUAUCUUGAUGGGUGGGGUGUAAAGCUAUUUUUCCCUACUCUCCUGAACAUGCUAGAAUAGUGGAUUUACAUCUUGAUUUUCCGUGCAUCUGUAGAAACAUUCAUUGUACCACACAUCACGUUUCGAGAUCUGGAUAUGCUACAUCGUAUUCUGUCUGAACUCAGGUUGUCCAUUAUCAUAGAAUCACAGCAUCACCAAGGUUGGAAAAGACCUCUAAGAUCAUCCAGUCCAACCAUCCACGUAUCACCAGUAUUUUCCACUAAACCAUGUACCCUGAUACAGCACCUAAACAUUUCUUGAACACAACUGUUCUCUUAUUAUUCUCUUGAAGCCAAAACUACCUGAAAAAUGCUGUGGCUUGGAAAAUGCACAUUUUAUCAUUGAGAUGUCACAUGAGACUUCGUCGGAAUUACUGUGAACUGCACAACCCUACUAAUUGCUUUUAAAAUAGUACCACUGAAAGUCAUCUGCUGAGCCAGCCUUGCAAGGCACAUUGAGCUCUGAGUGCUGAAGUGUGUGGCACAGGCAAGUCCCACCAUGGAAACAUGAUUCGAGACCUUCAACAGGAGGAAAUAUCUUCCAGCAGGGAGAGAUAAAGAGGAGCACUGCAUCACUCACAGUUUCUCUGCCAAGGGAAGCCUUCAGGAAGCAGUCUUCCUUUUGCUCAGAAAAUACGAAACAACGCUAUGAAAGCAAUUUAAGGAACUAUCUGGGAAGCAGCUUAAGGAAAAACACCACCUCUCCCAUGUAGACAGUUAAGGCACUGUGUUUACAAGAUGCGUGCUGAGCUCCCCUCUGGCUUAGCUGAGUGGAAGAAGAUGACCAGUCUAAAUAUAGUAAAAGGAGAUGCAGUGUGUUACAUACAGCCCAUGUAGCUUGUUCAGUCGAGAUUAAUUCAAUGAGGCAGACAGGAAGGUGACAUGCAUGGCUGGAGUGUCUUGGUCAUUUUAAAAUCAGUGUUUUACAUCUAGAUUUCCACUGCCCUAGAAUUCUUUGAACUGUUUCUACGCUUGAUAUGAUUUUCCCAUAUGAAGUGUUCAAGACCUAAGAAAAUGUAACAGAAAGGGCCUCUUAAAUCUACAUAACUCACUCUGCAAAUACAGGACUGGUCUAUAAACCUGCCCACUUCAAGGCUAUUGCACACAUUCCCUGUUUUAGAACCUGCAGAGCCAGUAUCCUCACUCUCUAUUCUUAGCUCAACGUUUCAUACAUCUUAUAAAAGCUGCCUAGAUGUGCACUCAAAAAUCACUCCAUUUUAAUUUGAACCCAGUUUAAGUUAUUGAGUAGCCAGAUGCAAUUAAUCAAACAAUACCUCUCUCCCUGAUGAGAUGACAUUCUCCACGCAUCACUCACAUCUUCCUAACGAGAGGGGCCUAGUUCAAGAUAGGUAUUUAUACAGUAACUGACAUCUCUGUUGAUAAUAAACUUACACUAAACGAGCUUUUCGAAAUCAUAAAUCUCUAUCUUAAAGUGUUCAUCCCCUUUUCAUUCCUACUGAACUGAGAGGCCAGCAAGCUUGCAGUGUGUUUCAUAACUUUGAUUGCUCGUGCUGUUCACUUUCUGAUAAACUAGAGAAUCACCAUUUCUCUUUUGUCUGAGGCAUAUUUUAAGUAGAGCUUGUUAGGAUGAGGAGAUGAUAACCCAGCUGCCUGCUCACAUUUUCUCACAACACAAAACAACACAGUAGUAACCUAUUUGUUGCAUUUCCUGCUUAAACACAUGGAUCCAUUUUGGAAAGAGUUAAAGGAAAUUUUAAAGUUGCUGAUACUCUUGGAAGCUGCUGAUUCUGCUCUGGGCUACAACAGCUUAUGAAAGGAGGACAACAGAGAUCAGACCAGAAAAGAAAGGAAAAGGACAGGGAGGUGAUGGAGAGAUGGCAGAGCUGUGAGGCAACGCAUUCUGUAAACUGUUUCCUCCUGUGACUUGCUGGAAGGUAUAAUCAGUCAUCCGCUGCUCGUUUUUGUGUGUAUGGUGUGUGUGUGUGUGUGCAUGUUUUUUUUAAACACCCAUUGCAAUCCCUCAAGACUACACUCCUAGUUUUACUUUUUUUGGUGGUGAUAGUGUAUGUUUGUGUAAGGGGUGUCAGGGGACUGAAAUUGUGAUACCAACUAGCAAUUUGGGUGUGUGGGUGAAAAUUAACUGUUGUAGUUGGUUAUUUUAUGGGCCCAAAAUAUGGCUGUUAAAAACCCCAACAUUCACCAUAUGAGCUUUCUGUAUCCAGACCAUAAAAUGUCUGGGAUACAUAGACGGGAUCCAAGCCGACUUCCUGCCAUGAAAUUGUGCUUCACUAAUGAUCACUCCAGCCUGUUUUCUAAACUUGGAGACCUCUUGUUUUCCCUAGAGGAUACUACAUUGUUUGUCUUUGGGAAAAAGUGUUUGUGUGCUACAAUUACGAAGUUUAUAGAACUUAAAAAUUCACCCGAAAUGGGACUACUACUUUACACAUAGUUCAACUUGGGUACGAAAAGGAAAAAUAAAGCUACAUUCAAAAGCUGCAGGAAAGCACAAAGGUAAGGGGUGAAGUUGUUGUCUAUCAAAAAUAUAUUUUAACUAAGUGCUGUCAGUUCUCUGAUGGACAGGAGUCUUUCUCCUUCCCCGCACCCUCGUUAUUCCUCUCUCAAAUGCACCAUUUCCCCAACGUACCCAGACACUGCUUUCCUAAUCAAAUAUUUGAAAAGAUGUCACUUUUAUACUAGGAUAUUCUAUGUAUUAUUAUAUAGAAUAUAUACAAUAACUUACAUAUCCUUUAGUUACAUUAUAUAUACUUAUAUAUGCUAGAUACUGCACCUUCUGAACUGCUGUUCAGUGAGCCUCUAUGGAGAGGCUUCUGAAACUGCAUCUCCGCUAUCUGAUGGAUUGCAACCCAAAGAUCUCAGUUGAAAGUACUCAUGCAAUAUGCAAAGAGACUUCGUACAAAGCAAAACAGAAUAAAAUUUUAAAUGCAAAAAUACACAUUCCUUCCUUCGUGUCUCAAAGUACACUGAGAAAGUGUAUCAUCACUACCCUCGUUAGGGCUCUGAGCUGCCUUUGGAGAGGCCAGUCAUUUCUAUGUACGUAUGCUUGGGAGACUGCAACGGAAAGAGUGUGAAAAGGUCAGAUCAGAAAAACGACCAGGGAAAGAAGCAGGUACCUCAGUGAUGUAAUUACCUGUGGCUUAGGCGCUACCUGGCGGUGUUAUCUAAAAGCUAAAUACAUUUUUAAUAAUUUUGAUUAAUCAGGGUAUUUUUCUAGUGCUAGAAGGAUCUAUAUUUAAAUUUCAGCUCAGCUGUGGCUUUGAGGGUCAAAUACAACAUUUUUUUUAUUUCUUUUAAUUGGGAAAGUAGGGUAAUUAAUGCCAUGGAUGGGCGUAUGUGACAUACUGAAUGCUGCAUUAUGCACAGUAAACACGAGUGACUGCGGCCACAGUGCAGGAAAUGCAGAAAGCAAGGCUCUUCUUAAUUCUGUUCACAUACUUUAAAAUAUAGUUGCGUGUAUAUAUAAACAAAUCUAUAUAUAUUAAAUUCAAAUUGCAUUGGCUCUCAUGCAGACUCGUGCAACUGUCAGAGUCACAUAUGAUGCUCCAUAAAACACAGUGCUAGUUAAGAUAGUUCCCUGCUUCUCUGGCUGCUCACACCUGAGGAAUGAAAACACUUUCCAGCAACAUAUAAUUCAGAGUAGUUUGGAUGAGAUUUUUAAUUUGGUCACUCCCUCUACUGGAGACUUUUUGCCUAGGUCUUAUUCAGAUGUUGAUCACGUUAUCAGGCAAUGAACCCUCUCUGUAAUUUUUCUUAUAAUUUCUUUAAAAAAAAAAACAAAGCUUUAUUUAAGGCUGGUGUUGGUGGAUUUUUGUUUGUUUGUUUUUAGGUUUCCAGAGUGCAGGUUGGGUAGAGCUCUACGUGCAGUGAAAUACAAUCAAAUUGCUUGUCAUGACUCUGUCCUAACACACGGUCACACAGUAAGGCAGUGAAAGCUUACUCCCCUAUUCUUUUCAGUGUUGCUUGGUAAAAACCUGAAAACUGAGCAAAGGACAUUGAAGGCUAUAUCACAAAGGGUUCUAGCUUAAGGAGCAGAGACGAUGAGAUUAUUAUGCAUUUUUGUAACCUAUUUGACCUUCAUUGCCUAAACUGAGCAGACUGGGCUUGCUUUGAAGGCCUUACCACCUAUGCAUAAUAUCGAGCCUAGGGAUAGAUAUGUGUAAAUGGUAAAAGCCUAGACAAAGUGUAAGCAGAGUGCAAUUCCAGCCUGCUUUGCUGAGGGAUAUUGAUAAGAUGCAGUAAUAUAAGCAAUGGUCAAAAUGUACCCCAGUAAAUAUAAUUAAUUCCUAACCUGACUAAACAUUGCCGCCUCAGUCACAGAGAUAGACUGAUGCAAAACUUUUUUCAUAGCUUAGUCUGCUAUCAAAAAUGGAAAGACUGGGGUAAUCCAUGAAUGGUCUUGAUGGGAAAUAGUUAAUUCCUAUAAAUUCAAAACCUUUUCAACAGAAAAACUACUCAAUGACAGUACAGCAUUUCUGUUGUUGUGAUGUAUUUAAACAUCUGCCUCUUUGGUCACUCUCACUACAACACUAACCAUGCUCAGAAAUUGCACGUCUUGAGCACUGCAAGCUUUUCUUAGCUAGAUUUGGUUAAGCAAGGACUGUGUUUAAGCCAGGGGCAAGCCUCUGUUAAACACAGGCAUGCAUUCCCAACUGUCUUGCUCUCAGAUUGCCAGUGGAAGUUUUCAUAUCUCCUGCCUGGAUUUUCUUCUGAGCUGCUUACCUCAGUUCUUGUUUGAUGGAACACUUUUCAAGAGGCUGGUAGAUGUUUCUUUGCCUUCUCCCUACUUCUCUCAGUUUCUUCUAGUGCAGUAUAGCCUAUCAGUCUUCCUGUGAAAGGACCUUCUCUCAGUGAAGGCAUCCUGGGAUCCAAUACUCAUCUUAAUCCCAUCUUGAGUUAGCAUCAUUUUGGAAUUCCACCCUCUCUGUGGGAUGAAAAUCUUGUAUUAAGCACAUGAGGCACAUAAUAGGAGCCUAUUAUGUGCCUCGUGUGAAUACUAAAAUGUAAAAUUUAAUGUAAAAAGUCAGAACUUUGGAAUUAGCAACAAUUAAAUCAAAAAGCUAGGGUACAUUGUCCAGUGAUACGAGGGCUUGCUAAAGGAGGUAAUCCAUGAAUUGCAAGGAGUAAUCCAUGACGUUCACACUGCGUGUCACAGGCUUACCUUGCAUCAGGGUAAGAGGAUACUACGACAAUUUGAAUUUUGAAAAGGAAAUAAGGGAUUCUCACAAGAUCUGCAUUUCUAUUUAAUGUAGCGUAAGACCUGAUAUGGAAAAACAGGCAGCAAAAGACUUUGCUCUCCUUACUUAUAGUUGAGAAAGCCUCAGAAAUUAGAAGUACAGAGUAAGCAUGUCUAAUCCCUGACCAGGGUAAGGGUGUUGGAACUUGAUGAUCCUUGGGGUCACUUCCAAACCAAGACAUUCUAUGAUUCUAUCAUCCAAGCAAGAACAUUGGGCACAUAAAGUUAAAAUGAAAAUUCCCAAGGUGAACAUUAAGAUGCUGAGAAUAAUUAUAAAGAAGUGACUGGGGAAAAGAUGGACUGAAAAUGUUGAAAGAGUAAGCAUUAAGUAGCAUUGCUAUUUUAAAUGAUGUCUAGACAACGGGUGAUGGGAUUUUAAAAAGCUGUUGAUUACUCCUCAUUGUAACAUAAACCCAAAGUUCCGAAAGCUUCUGAGAAAAAAACUGGAACCCACCCAACAUUUCUUGAUAGCAAUGGGAAAUUUUCCACUGCUGUCCCUGAAGACAUUUGCUCAUGGACAGAUACAAGAACAGGCUGUUAACGGUGAUCGAACAGGAGAUAAUUUUCCUAUUACGCUAUGACUAUAUUAACAAACCAGCUAAAUAACCUGUGAUGAAUCAGUGUGUAAAAUCACACCGUCAACUCCAAGCCUGCUAUACAGGUGGAGCCCUGCUGUGUACUUAGAUCAAGCAGGAAUUCUGGUGCAGAACAGGCUGGUUUGUUGCACAUUUAGUAGCUGCAAAACAUCUACAAAUGUUAUGUUAGGACACCUGAAACCACCAGCUGUACUGUUUCACACUGACUAUGGUAGCUAUGAAAAAAAAACCAAGAAGGCUUUAGGUAAAAGAAAAGGAAAACAUGACACGAGGCACAGUAACAUAAGACUGACUCAAGAUGAUGCACUAAGUCAGAAGGAUAAGUAGCAGUGCAUUAUAACCUCAGGUAGCUGUCGGUCAAAUUCUCUCAAAUUGAAGUCUCCAUGUUUCUCUUUGGUGUCAAAAGUUGAUUUCUCCACCCAGAAGGGUGUAAAGCACUGUGAGCUGCUUCACUCUUCAAGUUGAAGAACAUUGCCUGAGAGCAUGUGGUGUGCUCAGACUCUUCCCUUCCUUCUCCCUGAAAUGGUGCUGGCCUUGAAUAUUAAGUAAAUAAGCAACCCAAGGGUUCUGACUCUGGGCAGCCUGGUCUAGUGGUUGGCAACCCUGCCCAUGGCAUGGGGGUUGAAACUAGAUUGCCUUUGUGGUCCUUUUCAACCCAGGCCAUUCUAUGAUUCUAUGAAAGAAGGUCAAGAGAAAAAUUGCUAGGCAAUCAUUUUUUGCCUCCUGGUUAUCUACAUCAGUAGUACAGUCCCCUGACCAUCCAGCUCGCAGCCUCUGGAUCAGACGUGGGCAUAAAGCUCAGCUGAAAUACAAGCUAGUAUUGCCAAUCCAGUUCCAAAAAGCUACAGAACAGAGACAUUUCAGAACUGGGUGGUUCUUUUCCCCCAAACUGUUGAGAAACCCCAGCUGAAAACGUGGCAAAGAAGAGCUGUGAACAAUUGGGCCUCAACUUGUCUGUAAAUCCCAGUGAAAUGAAUUAAUGUAGACUAUUUUUUUUCCAGUCAAAUGAACUCCUUAGCCUGCUACAGAUUUUCAUAUGUACUUCCUCAAUUUAAGAGUUUUCAGGCUCUCUCAUCUGUUCCUAACUACAUCCUGUAAUUUCCAGUGCUGGUUGCUGCACUUUAAAUCUGGACAGCACAGCUUACAUGUACUUAUCAGUGACUCAUCCACAUAUUUGAAGAUCUUAAGAAUGAAUCACAUAUACAUGUUUGCUGAAUCCCCUCUGCUGUCUGUGAAGAAAGGCUCACACUGACGGAAUGCAGAACAGAGCAAGACGAGAGACUUUGAUGUUAAGGGACUUUAUAUGAGUGUGUUCUCUGAAGAGACGAUUUAAGCCUGUUUAUUAAGUCAUGCUGACUUUGUUGUUAAGCUCAGACAGGGACACCUUAACACAUCCUUCAGUUUUUUGGGCAGUAACUGAGCAUGAGAUACAGUUAAAAUGUUUGCUUUUAAAUCUGGUAUUUAAAAUAGGGUUGGGGUUUUUGUUUGUUUGUUUGCUGCUGUUAUAACAGCACUCUGUCAAAUCACAUCAGAGGAGAAAGUGUCACUCAGCACAAUAGGCCACAGUCUGCAUGUAAAUUGUCUUAAAUCUUCUCUUUCAAAUGUCAGCUGACAAAUCAAAAUGAGAAUAGGCUAUGCAGCAAAAAAAAACCCAGCCAUACAUUAAAGACUUAACACAAGGCUCCUGUCUACUAAUGUCUGAGAGCUCCAAAUGCAGAGAAACCACACAGAGUUAAUGAUAAUUGAUAUCAUAUGGUCUUUAUCAAAGCUUCCUCAAGAAAAGCAGCUUAAGGGAAAAUCCGUAAAUGUGUGUCUUGACCACAGUCUACCAAUCUUCUUCCGCAUUGGAGCCUUUAACUAAUUUGUUGGUUUAAUUACUGAGGCACAGGAAAGUUUGCAAGAGUGAUAAUUGCAUAUUCUUUGAUUGCUGAUCAUUACAUUAAGUGGUCUCUAUGAAUUAAAAAUAAAACCCAAGUGCCAUGUGUGCAUCUAGGAAACCAGCCCCUAUCUAAAUCUGGACAUACAAGCUUACUACUGCUGGCUGACGGCACAAAGCAAAAAAACAACAGUGAAGUUCCAAAAACCUGUAAUUGCUGUGACAGUUAACUGCAGCCUAUGAAAUUUUGGGAUUCAAAGUGGGUCAGGCAAGAUCAAUGAGACAUCGGGCUCUCGUUUAAGGGCAGUUUAGAGGCUUGUUAGGUAACUUCUCAUGUGCCACAUACUUACAUCUUUAAUUGGACCGGGUAGUAUAGCCUACUGCACAAUUCUGAACUAGCGCCAGAGGAAUUACUAGAAGGUCAAACGGAAGAGAGAGGCAGGGGGAGGAGGAAGUGGUAAUUGAAGAGACAAGAGAUGAUUGUGAAAGUACUUGGAGGAGCCUGUGUGUCUGGCAAGAUGCAAUGGGCCAAGCUACAAACAGGAGGCAAGGCACUUACUGGAAUAACGUCUUUGCUCACUUCCCUCCCAGCCUAGAGCAAUGCCAUCACUAACUGACCCCACCAGCUGCCAAAGUAACAAAGCACUCUAGUGGCUAAUUAAUUGCAGUAUCUACCACAGUGUUUUGCCCAGAAAUAUGGGCUGUAUGAUCACACAGUGAUCAAGCAUAUAACUACAGAUGGCUCUGGUAAAAUACCUUUGCCUUCAAGAAAGAGAGAACAGCAAAGAGAACAGAAAUGAAAAGUAGAGAGAUGACAGCAAAACACCAUAGCCAAAAGCUGAACAGUCUUGUUUCAGUUCUGGUUCAGCUUAGAGGAGGCUGCCUGUGCUUUCCACUGUCCAUCAAAAGGACCGUUUUAUAAAUGUUUGCAUCAUUCUGCAAUAAAAGUUGGUCACUGUUCACAUAGAAACCUAGGAUCAGACCUCAUGCAUCAAAAUAGUUUCUCACAUACAUUAGUUAAGAAAAAAAUGAAAUGUAGCUUGAAAUAUUAAAAAAAAAAAAAAGCUUACUUAGACUCCCCCCCCCCCCCCCCCCCCCCAAUUGGUUACUUAGAUCCUAUUUUAUUUUUUUUCCCUACAAUCAUAUCAGGAAGAUAGAGCUGAUGCCAUGGGAAUAAUGGAAGAGUUCAAAUCACAACCUGAAACACAAAUGGGAAAAGAGACUCACAGAAUCUCAGAAUGUCUGAGGUUGGAAGGGAUCUCUGGAGGCCACCUGGUCCAACCUCCUCAACCCCUGCUCAACCAGGGCUACAUCCAGCAGGUUGCCCAGGGCCAUGUGCCCAGGCACCUUUCAAAGAUCUCUAAGGAAAGAAACUCCACAAUCUCUCAGGGUGACCUCUGUGCCAGUACUCUGUUAGGCUCACAGCAAAUGCUGAGCCUCCUCCAGGCUAAACAGCCUCAGUUCUCAGCCUCUUCUCAUAGGAGAGGAGCUCCUAUCCCCUCAUCACCCUGAGCGUCCUGCAUUCAACACUUCCCAGUAUGUCCAGAUGUCUCUUGUACUUGAGUUUUGUAACGUCCUUGUUAGCCCAACUCUCCAGCCCACCAAGGCCCCUCUGGAUGGUAACACAGCUUUCAGGUCACUGGGAGAACAGUGAAGGGGCACCUUGCGUCACAGAGAACUCAAAGUGCAAAAGCUUUAAAACCAGAAAAGGCUGCACUGGAAAUCAUGAGAGAAGAAUUUGAACGGUAGCACUAGAGGUGGCAACUGAGAGCCCAAGAGACAUCAAGAGACAACAAAAGAAGCUACAUUCAAAGUAACAUAAAUCAAGAGUCGGAUGAUUACAGUUAAUCAGAGCAAGCAGUAGCAAAUGUUGAAUAUCUAGUCUGCCUGACUGUGAGUGGACCAUUUACCUAAGAGAAAAUCUGGCAUUUAGAGCACUUUUAGAGCAGCCCUAAUUUUACCCGUUUCUUAGGUUUCCAAGGAUUGCUCAUGCAGAUUGAAUGGACUCAGUAUCUUCAGCAUUCUGCUAAUCAUUGUUUAUUAGUGUUACCUUAUACCUGGAAAACGUACUUUAUAAAUCCCCCAAGUCAUAUUUCUGAAUUAUCACCACCUCCACUCUGUGUAGUUAAAAAACUUUACCUCGGUUUUCAGAAUGUCUCCUCAGAUCUCCAUGCACCACCUUUUUCUUAUGUAUACAAACACACUGCUUUGAAGAAGCUAUUCUAACUUGCAGUGGUGAAUUUAUGAUGCCAAAGCUAUAUAUAGGCAGAGAAUGGAGAGCUCCUUAAGCAGCAUGCCAAAACUGGAUUUGAAACACUUUGUUAUUUGAAAGCAUUAAAUAUAUAACAAUGUUAUUACAGCUAAAGCCCCUAUACUGUCUUGAAUUUUUUUCCUUCAAAAAUAUGGAUGGGAUGCAUAAACAAGAGGGCUUGUUGCUUGAACUACUUUGAAAGGUGCUUCCAGAGCAAUUUCCAUUCUCAAAAAGAACAUGCAUCUAUAAUUAAUAAACUAUUUGUUUUUAAUGAGUUCUUUUUUUGUGCAACAUGUACUUUCAAUACAGCUAUGAUAUAUCUAUAAUGCACACCACUUGCCAAGACAGAUGCUACAAUCACAAGGAAAGGAUAUUUAAGUGUUUGUGCAGUAUUUUCAGAGUUGUACUGUAAAAUGCAAAGCCACAACAGUUAUCAUCAUUAAUUCAAGUUUAAGGGCACAAAAAAUUCAAUAUUAAGUACUGUCCUCUACAACUGCUCUGAGACUAAUGCACUGAUAUUCUACUGUGUAAAAGUAUAGAUAGCGUUUCUGCUAAUGGGUUUUUGAAGCAUGCACCAAACACUAAAACACUUGCAGACAUAUCAACCAGCUUUUUUUGCUUGUGAUCCGUUUCACUCUGCAUUGUCAUCACUCAUGGGGCAAAAGAUAUUGGCAGACCGAGACCAAACUUGGAGAUGUUGACAAGAACUUGGUAGCCUGGUUACAAAGAGGAAAGGAGUUAAAAAAUUUAUGCUGACACUGAACAGUAGGUCUUUAUGACACUCCUCGCUUUGUAUAAUUCUGUUGCAUCUUCCCUUGUCAUUCCUUGCACAGAAAUCAUGCAAAGCUCAGAUAAUCCUAGCAAUCUUUUCUGGAGUUCUUCUAGUCACUCACAUCCUUUUAGGGAUGAAAGGACCAGGACUCCAAAUGCUGCUUUACACAGACAGUGCAACAGAUUCACAGUGUUACAGCGCUCUCCAAUCCUAACGUUUGAGUUUCUCCUUCAGCUUCUACUGCAGCCAGAAAACGAUUUCCAUACAGGUGGAAAUAACUGCAGAGAGCUUAUCUUUGCAAAUGUAAAGAGAGCAAUUCUCUCACCCUCCUGUGUAGCACCACUUCAGCUGCUUUGUGUAUCUUGCCACACAAGUCAUUUAAUUGCCAUGUCCUUUUGCAGCCCAUUGUAGUUGACCCUCAGCUCUAUUCCCCAAAAAUGCCCGGUAUCAUGAGCACACUUUGCCAUCAUAUGGUUCACACUCUCCUCCCACUCACUGCUGGGUAUUUGAACAUGAGAAACCCCUGUACAACCUGCUGGGUGGAGUUUCCCAUUCUUUUUCUUAUUGAACCCAUGGCUUGCACAUUUAUAAAACUAAUUAUUACCUUCUUCCUUUCUUUUCCUUUCAUUCUAAGGGCACCAUCUUGCUCUAGACUCCCUCUCCUCAACCGUGCAGGCAAUUUGCUAAAGAUCCUUCUUAGACCUUUGUUGCUUUAUUGUGAAUUUAGCUAUCGAUACCGUCUUUUGAUAACAGGAGCUGGAAGUACUUUGUUUUGAUAUUUUUGAUGUUCACGUUAAACAUCAUCGGCUCCCAGCAAACAAAGAUCUGGAAGUUGGCUUCACAUCUUGUCUAUAGACAGCCCAGAAAUCUAUCAGGAGACAAGGUGACUGCUUCUUCCAAGUCCAUUUCAGUCUGGUGCUUUCAAGAGGAUCAUGACUGGAGCAGAGAUUUCUGGAACCCGAGCCAAAAAGCACUGAAACCUAAGUGUCAAUCUAAGCUAUUGUAAAACACGCACCAUUCUGCACUGGGGUUGAAGCCAGUUAAUGCUUCCACGUUAAUUUCUUUGUUUCAUAUGCCACUUAAUUGCUUAGUGUCUUGGGUCGUAUCUAUCUAUCUAUAUUAUCUUGCAGAAAAAAACUGGGAUGCCUUGAACUAUAGCAGAGUAAGAUGUGGAGGGAAGAUGGGACCACCUCCAGAUCCCUUAACACAGGUCUCUUACAGUCUGGGGAAGAAAGUACAGAGCAGAAUAUAUUAUGUAGUAGGCUCUCAGAUUUUCCAAUUUUCUUUGGUUUUAAGUAGCUCUGCCACCUGCCUGCCCCACUAAGGUAGUCAGUCUGAUAGAGCAGGACAGAAGAAGACUGCCUCAGCCUGCUCCUCAUGAGAAUCAUAGAAUCACUAAGGUUGGAAAAGACCCACAGGAUCACCCAGUCCAACCAUCCACCCAUCACCAAUAGUUCUCACUAAACCAUGUCCCUCAACACAAUGUCCAAAUGUUCCUUGAACACCUCCAGGGUCAGUGACUCCACCACCUCCCCGGGCAGCCCAUUCCAGUGCCUGACCACCCUUUCAGAGAAGCCUCACUGCAGAUCAUAAGCUCUGAGUUUUAGCAGCCCAAACUUUCCUAUGAAGUCAGUGUUCCAGCACUCCUUUAAAUGCAGAGUUUAGUCUCCCUGCACUGAAUUUGGCACUACCAGCAUAGCACAGAAAAGGCUUCACAGGAGGCAGAAUCAGGGCAGGAGCAUUUUCCAUGCAUUUUGAGAUUUUUCACCAGUAGCAGACAUGACUCGAAGUCCCUCUCCACUGAACCACCAGUUACACGCAAAGCAUCUUUCUGAUGCUCCUCAGUGGGUGUCCGUAAAGACCUUCUCCCUUUACCAUUAGAUCACAUUACCGUAUUCUUGCUGAAAGUUUACCUCAUCCUGAAAAUAAUUUGGUUACUUUAGCCUGCUAUGUGGGUUUGACUGCAAGGACUCUGUGUUUGCAACUUACUGUUUUAAAUGAAUUUAAAUGGCUCUGACUGAAAUUGAUAUUCAAUGGGAAGUAGUUAAUCAUUAAUGAUAUCCCUACAUCUAAAAUCAAACACAGACUGAUGGGCUCCCUAUCUCAAUAAGCUUCCACCAUCGGGAGAUAGCAAAUGGGACUGUAAGUCAGUGUAAACACAAGGCAAAAGAGAAAUGUAAAUUACAUGGUUUAGCUUAGUGGGCAAAACUGAAAUACUUUUCAUGCUACCUAGCCUGCUCUGUGGAGAUGAAUACGUUCAUCCCUCAUAUAAAGCACAUACUUGACAUGACUUGUAAUAGGGCCCUAAACACAAAAGAGAGUCAGCUGACCACAUAGCCCCCUCUGCCCAUAUUCCUGCACAUUAAGAAACAGACUAAAAUCCUGAUGACCUACUAUCAUAAUCAGAAGGCAAAAAUGUUUGAUUUUUAUCUUGCUGCUCCUCACAAAUCACAAGUCUGCCACAAAAAUUCCGGGUCCACAAAAAUUCCCCUCACUCCAAGACAUUUUAUAUAGAACUGAAUGUACCAUAAAUGAACUGCAACUUCAUGUUUGUAUCCAAACACUGAUACAACAUUAUUUCUGGAAAUAAACAGUCUCAUCCCUCUUUUACAUUAAAUCAAUUCAUUGUUUUUCCGUUUGUAUUCUUUGUGAUGUUCCUCCAAACACUCCACAAAUUACCUAGCUUUUAGAAAGCCAGGAGCUGUUUGCUGUUUUUUCCCCCUCCUCUUUAAACUUGAAUGCAGCUUGAGAUUCUUAAGAUCUCACAUUAGGUUUAACUGCUUCGCUGUAGACCUGGUGGCACCAUUGAGCAAAAGGGAGGGUUCUGACACACGGUGAAGAUGUGCUCGUUUCUGUGGCCAACAAAGAGCCAAGGCGACCCCUGUUAUUACGGCUAGUGAGACUAGAUUUACCAUAUUAUUAAUCAUUAAAGUCUGACUCAAAAUUCAGACUGGCUUGUACUUAUUCCUUGGGUCAGGGAGCUUUAUCAGAGCUCAUUAACUGCAUUGGGCUUCUCAUUUACUCAUUCUGCAGCAAUCUUUUUCCUAAUGCGUGAGGGGAAAAAUGAAACACCAGUGAUUUAACUGUUUGAGGGAUAUUUACUGCUUGAUCUCCACAAAUAGAAGCAGCAGGAGUAUUUUGCUUGUCAAGAGGACGGUAAUUCUUCAAAUCCCUCUUAAGAGAUAAUGACUGGCAGCGUAAUGCUUUUGAUCUGUCAUAAUUAUAAAAUAAAAGAGAAUGGAUGCAAAGCUCACGUGCCAUGGGAAGGUCAGUUGCUUUUAAAUGCCUAGGAUUCCCUCUGUGGCUAAUCCCAGCAUGUCCUGAACACAGGCUAUUUUUAGGCACAAUUGUGGGUCCGUUAGACAUCCUGUUCAUAUAAAAUGAGUGCCUUACUGGUGAGCUUCUCCUGUAGGGCAGCUAAUAAGUAGGUAGGAAAAUGACAUCUCUGUACUUUUGACUUGCAUGCUGUUGCAAGGAAGGACAGCAGGAACGUCUCCUCUCUGGCGUCAAACAGUCCCCCUGCAGCACACACACAAUUUAAAUUAUUACAAGUAUGAAUGCCGGCACAAAAUAAAGUAAUUACAUUUAAUUAGGCAGCCAAAAAAGUGAUGGCCUGGGACUCCCUGCCUUAGAUGUAGCCUUUUGUUGACUUAACACAAGACAGGUAAUGAAUGAAACUUCAAAGUGUAAGCAACUGAAUUGCUACUUAAUUAGCGGAGCCCUAGUCAACAACACAGCAAAACACAACAAAACAAAACCCUCAAUUUUUAUUUAUUUUUGUUGUUAAACGAAUUCUAACAGCUAUCUCAUGCCUCACAGAAAUAACGAAAUUAAAGACUGUUCUAUUAAGAUCGUGUUUGUGUUCAAAAGUACAGAGAUGUAUUUUGGUUGUGUUAAUGAAGAGCCCCUGAAAGGUGCUAGAUUGGCAGCCCUGGAGCAUGACAUUACCCACAAGAGGACUUGGUGCAAACAAGUCACUAGCUCACAAAUCUCACUUCCCUGCCAAGCAUCAAGUACAGGGAGUCAAUUCUAUCAGUGUUCUGAUCUGCUGGUACAACCGCACCAAGAAACCUAGCAUAGGGAGAGAGGUUUCAGAAGUCAGAAAUGAUGAAAGACAUAGAUAAAGAAAAGUAGGUAUAUUGAAACACUGAUUUUCUUAUGAACAAGUCUCUCUGAUUUGCUUUUUCAUAUCUAGAAUCCCAUAGGUUGCCACAGCUCAUCUCUGGAAUCCUUUUAUGCUGCCAUAAACUUCCUACUGCUUUGUUGUACAACUGAAAGUGAAAAGCAAAGUGCGCCUGAAUAGCACAGUGAGUUCCUCUAUCCUGUCAUCUUUGGGCCAGCAUUUUAUUCUAACGUCAGAGAUGAAAGCAGGCUGUUUAUAGUUUUCAUCCCAUUCCUCAAAUGCUUAUGUCAAAAAGUCGGGAAUUUUAAGUUUCCCCUCCUCAGAAGCACUCAGGAUGGACUGGUAGGAGCCUCAGCAACCACUGCAGUCUUUACUUCAUGUCUGCCUACAGACAUAUUUUUCUUUGGAAGAUCAGCUAGAAGGGAAAAAUAACAUGUAGCAUUAAGAUUUCUGCCUGUCAGAGGUUUCCUCUCUCAGCCCUCUUCAGCUCAACAGCCCACUCAUCACCAGCUAACAGGUAGAGUUUUGUUAGGGGGCUUCAUAUUACGUCUCAGAUAUCACAAGUUAAGACUGACAACUGCACAUCCCUCUCCCUCUGCACCUCACCGAAACAUGACAUGGAUACCAGUUUCUGCAGGGGUGAUGCGAAGAUCAAAAACAUAUUCCACAGCCACCUGUGGUUUGCAGUACAAAUAGCGGUAACGAUGCAUCUGCUCUUCAAAGAUAUAAAAUUAGUACCUACAGAAAGCAGCACUGUGUGUUUGCUAACCUUUUCCCCAGCACUAUGGACAACACUGGACUUACAGCUUUGUUAGUAUACUCUUCUGUCAAUAAACACAGCAGUUUGGAAAUGAUUCUGCUGCAUCACUGAAGUCAACAGGAUCAUGAUGUAGUCCUCUGCACUGUUUCUUUUAAGGACCAUGUCAGAAAAAGACUCAAGUGCAAAAUAGAGAGAGGAGACGAAGAAAUUCAACAGAGUUUCAGCAAGUUCUGGAACAGACAAAGCAAGAACAAGUACGGCACUAAAAAGACCUACGGGACAGAAGAAACUGGAUUUAAAUUAGACUCCUCAUAGCAUAGGAAAGACUUUUGCUGAGAGAGAAAUUCUGAAGUGUUAUUUGAAUUUUUGUUUUCCAGGUAUGAUAAAAAUGCAAAUGGAGGGAAUGUGCUGCUACAAAUCUGUGUUUGCAGAGGAGAAAUAAGUGACAAAAGUAGUCUGGCCCCUUCACCAGAAAGGAACCCAGAAUGACAGAAUAGCAAUAGAUAGAUGUUUGCUUGGGCUGUGCACAUUAAUGCACAGGCAGAGUUGCAAUGUUAGAGAUUAGGAAAAAUUCACAGAAUGCAACAAACUUCUGAUGAUGUGUUUUUUAGUACGUAGCCAGUGAGAAAACUUGUACAUUUCAAGGGAGUCAGCAGUCACCACCUCAUUGUCUUUCCAAUGGCAUGCAGCCAUAGGCUCUUCCGCAAGCUGUUGUUUGACUGCAUUUACAAAUAAUGAUAGACUGGCUGCUUAGUUGUACCAUUCAUCUGGGAAAAUUAGAUUGAAAUUUUAAUGACAGCAUAUCAGAAAUCUUUAGCAAAAGAAGACAUACCCGCAUCAAUCAGUAAUUCUCUUUGCAGUUCCUUAUUAGUUCACUCUCAAAUCUGUAUGUAAAGCUAUAUAAGCAUAAUCUGUCACUGCAAGACACACAGGCUCACUGAAUUUGUAUCAGGACACUUUCACAGUUAAACACUGGAAGUAUCAGAGAGAAACUGCUGUAAACAAGUUCUUGCUUCUCUCUUUCUUCUAACCCAAAUCAGUAUCUGAUGGUGCUGGAAUGAUCUCCAAGAGGAACACCAGCAAAACAAGAAAACUCAAUUGAGGGGAAAGUCAUAUGAAGACAAAAAACAAAACAAAGCACACAACCAAAACAGCAUUAUACAACUGCUUCUGGCACAACAUACGCUAACUGACAAUUUGAGGUCUCAUGGGUACAUUCCUUACACCACAGCCUCAGCUUUUGAGACGUUCCUCCAGAACACGCUUUUUCCACCAGUGGAGUAAUGUGCUAAGCCUUGUUUUGUGGCAGAACAUCAUGGACAAUGCUGAUCUAUCCUGUUCUCACAGCUGCAGACAGAGGGCUUCUAACCACUUACUGCACCCAAACCAGGGAGUAGUUCUCCUCAGGUUUAUGUCAAAGAGUUCCUGACUGUGCAUCUGUACUUCCAUCACCUUCCUUGAUAAAAACAUUGCUUUGAAACUUUCUGGAGCUAGAUAUCUGCCACUGUCAUUAUUCUAUUUGUCCCCUAACAGUCCUCAAGUUCCCAGGCUGGUUUCCUUCAGACCAGAGCUUGAAGAGGUCCAUCAUCUCCCAGAAUAGUCAUCAUGUCUGAUCAGUGAUACAUCUCUGGGAUCCUUUCAGAAAAGCCAGUGCAAAGCUUUCCAACAACACGGACAAAACGAAUUUUGCUGCUUCAGGCCACUCAGCUUGGCGAUACCUCCUUCCUGCCAUGGGAAGGGAAGCAGUAGAACAGAUAUUGGAAAUAGGACUGAAGAAAAUGACAGCCUUCUCAGAGAGUCUUCCCAGGGGCCUGCUGUAGAGCCACCAGAUUCCUUUUGCAUUAACAAUUUUUAUCCUUCUUCAAUCAGCCACUGCUGUUGUAAGACCUUCUCUGCUCAGAGGUCUCAGUCAGAUUACAGGAAACAGGAAAGUAAUUGCUCCUUGCUGAAUAACCUAAAGAGCUGUAAUCCCAAAACAAGACCGAACAAGCUCCCCCAGAUCAUAAUCCCCAGUUUCCACUCUCUGCUCUCCCCAGGGCAUUCACUGUGCAAAAUACCCUUACUCUUACAGAAGCCCAGAUAGUUCUGCAUAGCUUGUGGCUCAUUUUCUGAAAAUAGUGAGUUUAAAGCCCAGUUUCAUUUUUCCUAACCUUGCUCAGCCUGCUUAUUACUUUCCAUUUUUUUGCCAAAGGUUUUUUUUUAGCAUUUUUUCUCAUGUUUCCAUGGAACUCCCAGUUUGAUAUUAGGCAUAUCAGCUGCUUGACCACCUUCGUUUCUCCCAAAGGGGCCCCUGCAAUUUACGUAUUCCACAUCAAUAGAUCUGGCCAGGCUCAAUUUCAAGGGUUUCUGUUGGCCCACUUCCUCAAGAGUUUCACUCUUCAACAGUCUCCCACCAUCAGCCACUCUUCUUGGUACACAGAGGUCAUGACAGAAUGACCACAGGGGCAUAAAAGUUGCUAAAGCAGCACUGCAAUUUCAUAAAUAGGACAUAACAUGCAGGAGUUAUUUGGGAACAGGUCUCUGUUCAUCUACAAAUCAUAAAACAGGUUGGGUUGGAAGAGACCUUAAAGCCCAUCCAGCCCCAAAUUCCCUGCUGAGGGCUGGUUGCCACCUACCACCAGGUCAAGCUGCCCAGGGCCCCAUCCAACCUAGCCUUGAGCACCUUCAGGGAUGGGGCAUCCACAGCUUCUCUGGGGAGCCUGUAUCAGGGCCUUGACACCCUCUGAAUAAAAUCUUUCCUCCUAAUAUUUAACUCAAACCUCCUAUCUUUUAGUUUUAAACCAUUCCCUCUUGUCCUAUCCCUAUCUGUCCAACCUUUUGGCUUGCCUGGGCUGCACUGAGUGAAGAGGGAUUUUAUUGAGACACAUACACAUAGGCUGCACCGAAAAUAAUGUCUCCAUUUCCCUGGAAACUACAAUCUAUACAAAGAGCACAUUCUCAACUACAGAACACUAUUUUUCUUCAUAGUCACAACCAAUAGCUGUGCAUUUUCACCAGCAGUGAGCAAGAGCCUGCAUACUGCUCUCCUCAAAAUCUACACCAGUGGAGGUGACCCACUGUUGCUCUCUCCACUGUCGAAAUACAGCACCCACUGCCUCACUCUGCUCACAUCCACUGCUGGUCUCCAGCAAGCAUAGAUGAAUGUCAGUGGGUACCAUUUUGUCUGCAUGGAGGAAUUCAAUGACACACCUUUGUUUCAUUUGCACUUCUAUAUCAGAUGCCAUUUUGUCAGACUGCCCUUCUGCUGCUAUUUGCCACAUGGCAAUAAAAUGUAACCGAGUAUUCAUCUGAACAUGAAGAAAAACUUCUUUAUAUUGAGGGUGACAGAGCACUGGAACAAGUUGCCCAAAGAGGCUGGUGAAGCCUCCUUCUCUGGAGAUAUUCAAAACUUGCUUGGACACUUUUCUGUGCAACCUACUCUAGAAAACCUGCUUUAGCAGAGGGUUUGGACUAGACAAUCUCCAGAGGAUCCUUCAAAAUCCUAUGAUUUUGACAUGCUCCAAACUGAGCAAACUAAGUUCAGUUUCCUUAGCCUGUCUUCAUAGGACAGGCACUUCAGUCCCUUGAUCAUCUCUGUGUUCCUCUGGUCCCACUCCAACAGCCCCUUAGCUUUCUUUUGCUGGGGGCCCCAGGCCUGGAUGUAGUAGUCCAGAUGGGGCCUCAUGAGGUCAGAGCAGAGGGGGACAAUCACCUCUUACACCCUGCUGGCCACCCCUCCGUUGAUGCAGCCCAGGAUACAGUUGGUCUUCCAGGCUAUGAAUGCAUACUGUAUACUGUUGUUCAGUAGGAUUCUUCCAAGCAGGAAAUGGUACUGCCAGCAAGAGGUGGUUUCUGGACAGUGUACAAAUAUUUCAGAGUAACAAAAAUAAGGUUUUGGUAAUGCUUAACAUAAUAGUAUUCCUCUGACACUGAUCUUUGUUGGUACAUCUGAAGAGGACUUUUUACGCCAAGAAAUAGAUAUGUGACUCUUCUUAUCCUGUUUUUAUGAAAAUGAACAGCAUUAUAAAACAUGGGAGAUCAUAAGCAAAUUAUAUUAUUUUGAAAACAUUCAUCAGGGUCAUCUUUUGCAUCUCUUUCAGGACCAUAACUGCUUCCUCAGUUUAUCAGCUGUACCUGCAAAGGUGGUAGUCAGGUAAGACUUGAGAAAUCUUCUGCAGCUCUCCUUUGCUUCUCUUGUACUUAAACUGCUUGCAGGCCAGAGGAACGCUAAGCCCCACAUGCAGGCUUAACUUCCCACACAGCCUGACAAUUGCAAAGCAAGGAAUUACUUGGUAAUGAAUAUGAUAGCCACAAAUACCAAGGGGUUAAAAAAAAAAAAAAAUCACAAGAGAAGAAGGAAUAGAAAAGAAAUAGAAGAAACAAAUGUUUGUACAGAAGUAUUGCUUUCCUUCUAUGUGAUAAAUUCAGUAGUAUUUAGGGUUAAAAAGGAGGCCUCAUUGAGAAAGCCAGCCUAAAGCCCAGUAGCUUAGUAUUUCUGCAGAUCUCUGUGAUCCUAAAAUGCAACUUUAAUAAAAAGACAUACAAUUAAGUUGAGAGGCCUACGAUUGACUGAAAUUCACUGCUUCACAAUUCAGGGUGACAGUAAGAGAAUUGCUUUGCUCAUAUUCAUUACAACAUUAUAAAAAGGUUUUUGUCUUCUAAUACGAGCUUUUUGUGGGGGACAAAGAGGUUUGCUGCCAGAAAAAAGUUCAACAAUUUAAUGGCAAAGCCAGUUACAGCCUAUCUUUAAUGCACUUGCAAAAAUUAAUUCCUUUCACAGUUGACAGCAAGUUUUAAGCCAACUCCGUCCUCUGGAGCAGAGACAGAUUUAGAUUGCUUCAAGGACAGGAGCACUCCUCUAUCACCAUCUCAAAGAGACAUCCUGGCAACAGCACAGAGACCUUAUGGUGCCUGACUCUCAGCUGCUAGCACAUCCAUGCUGCUGAAGCGCUGUCAGGGACAGAAUCACAUCUACUAAAGAAAGUAAAAAGAAUUUCUGCAAAGAGUUUUCAUGCAGAAAAAAAUUAUAGUAAACCAUCUCCUUUUUUUUUUUUUUUUAAUUAACUUUAAUCAAAUUCUUUCUCCUGUCUGAGCAGACCAGCUUAACUUUGAGAUAGGAAACUUUACAUUCUACCAUGCAAUUCCAUUGUGUACCAGUAAGGUCUCCAUCAGAGAGCUGUGUCCUUACAUUUUGGGAAAGGUAAGGACCAGCUGAAGCAAGCCCAGAAAGUCUUUCCUGUGGCACCCAUCAGGAAUAACUUGUCUUUUCCAUUCCUUUUUGACUGACAGAGAAGACAUACUAUAACCAUCCUCAAAAAGAUAAAAAGACACUGCAGGCCAUAAGGAAAUGAACUGCCUAUCCUAGGGGUGUGCCAUGGAUAAGAUCAGAAGUAAUGGGUUUAACGGAUUGUUAAAUACUGGGAGAGCGUAUACGUGAAAACUACAAAGCUUUGGCAACUGAGACAACACAAGAAUCUCACAGGAAUAACUUAGAUUUCCGACUGGGCAAGGCGCAGGCCUUGAAGACUCACAAGGUCCCUUCCAGCCCUCUUUCUUCUAUAACACUAUUUUCCCAGUGUUUAACAUUUCUCAGAAGAUAGGGAAAUACCUACUAUGCCCAAGCAGAGUCACACCCCAGCCAAAGGCUAAAAAGUGAGACGGAGUCCUCAGCAUCCUCAGGGGCAGAGUUCAAUCUACUUUGGCAGCAGAAGAACAUGCCCUGGAGGAAGCAAAGCAUGUGAGGGUAGUGCACUGGGGAUUGAAGUGUGAGGGAUGAGGAAAAUCCCUCUUUCCAUCACUCGCUUUCCUUCUUCCUUUGAGGCAUGUGCUAACAGCCCUGCACAAGUCCCCUGUGUACUCCUUUCACACUGUGUACUCCUACUAUACCUUCUACUCAUCUCUGGAUCCACCAGUCCUCUUAAAUAAAGUGGGAAGGCAGGGGGAGGAAGGCAGAAAGUUGAAAACAGUCUCUCCCCUCAACACAUAAAAGAUGAAAGAUAGAGCUGGGAGGAAAACUAGCAGAGAUUUUGGAGGGUAGGUCUUUCUCUGCUGCUGCCUGUAAGGUAGGAGGUAGCAGCUACUACAGGAAAGGUUCAUUCUUGCUAUACAGGCAGGACACUCUCCUGCAAGGCUGGCACAGCCUCUGACUGUGACCUGAGCCGGAUCAAGGUGAUGGACAGCCUGAACUCUGACUUGGAUUUGCAGACUCAGGGGGUUUACACCCAAAUUUCUUCUUGGGGGCUGCAAACAGGAGCUCCCCUUUGGCAGACCUUGUGAUAUCAGGAAGUAUAUAACAACAGAUACCUUUCACUCCACACUUGAUGAGGUUUGUGUGGAUUCAUGCUAAUACUACAUUUCCAAGACAAUAUAUAAACUCGGUCUGAAAAGGCCGGAGAAUGAGAAGGAUGAACAUGCGAGCCUGAAGAUAACCUUGAAUCACCCUUAUGUGUGUACACUCAGAUAAUGCAUUAGGAAGCGCACUUGUGAUAUUUUGAUAGUUAAGCUCUGUAUGGGUAUUCUUCCCUCUCUGUAAGUUAGUAAAGCCAGUGCUAUGUUAGACACAAGUAGAUCUUUCCAAAACAAACUGGCCAUUUGCCAAGAGAGGUUUACAUAUGGCACAAGCAAGGCAGCGCAGAGGUGCGGUGAGCAGCUUCCAUAACCCAGUUAUUGAGGAAUGCUGUGCUAAAUUCGUGCUAAAGAUAAAUCAUCUUUAUAACCUUCUUCACCAGUUCAUCCUAAUCCAAAUUUCUGAAUGUGGGCCACCCUGUGAGGUAUGGCUAUUUGGAAAGCAACAUGAGAACAGACGUUUCCAUCGAACCAGUCCAGCUUCAAAAGACAGCCCAAAGGCAUCUUAGCAUAGGCCUGUACAAGCAAGAGGGAGGGAUCAGCAGCUCACCCUAACACCAGAGCAACUCACUCAUCUUUUCAACCAAAGGCUAAUGCCCCAGUUUACCUCCCUACUCCUUCAUGCUAAAGACAACUCUGAGCAUACCACCAAAAACUCUGAUUUUGUCUUUUCUAAUAACCCAGGAUUGUACUAAACUCUGAAGCACAAGAAAAGCCAGAUUUGUUGGAUGGCCUCAAACAAAGGGAUACAGCAAAGAGUGGAGGUAAAAGCAUACAAACUGGCAGCCUAGCAUUUCAUUAGAAUUACUUACUUAUUCCAAGGCACAUAGAACAUGCAGAAAAGAGCUUUUGAAGGAAGGGCUUCAAAAAGGAAUUUUCCUACGCUGCUUGUAUCAUGUAAGUAUUCUUCCAAUCACGUUUGCUGCAGUAAAGGAAUUGUUUUUAGUUGCUAACAGUUUUAAAGUCUUAGCACACUACACUUUUGAGAAGCAAUACACCUCCAUUGAAUUUGACAGGUAUUUUCAGCUCUAUAAGAGAACCAAGGCACUAAUAACCUAAUGAUAGUCUGCCCUAAUGUCACUGAGUAUCUCUUGUCACUAAAGUAUGGACAAGCAAAUCUAAAGAGGCAGCUUUAUAAAUACUUCCUCACUCAGGAAAAAAAGCCACAGGAAGAAAACAGGUCUCAGGAAAUGUAAAAAAACCAUCGUUUUCAGAUUAUUGCAAGGGGAAAUGGUCAAAACCAUGCCCAUUUAGAGUAGCACUCUUCACCUUUUCAACACAAAAUUGGAGUACUUUUCUAAAAGCAGAAAACUUCAUAAUGUCUCGAAGAGGUAGAGGAGAAAAUCAGGCAGUUAAGGAGAGCCAGACACCACAAACUCUUGUGCAUUGGAGACAGGGCAUGAUAAUACUUAAAUACUAACCAUGAUGUCAGAUGAUGAUACUGGAGGAGACAAAGAGAAGGAGGAAAGGGAUGUUUUUUCAGGCUGAGAUCCAGAACAGCUCCUGUUCUCCACCAUAAAAGCUGGAGGAGCACCACAGAGCCAUUGCAGAUUGAAGACAAUGAGUUCUUUGCUGUAAAUCAGGAUGCUCCUUUCUAGCGCAAUUAAAUAUUAGAGUCAAUUAAUUCUAUCAAUGUACUUCAUAGUUCCCUAUUAUGUAUUUCUGUGAUUAUGUGGUUUCUUACAGCUUAAAACACUAGAUUUGUUAAAUGUUGAGUACUUCAUAACUGCAGUUACUCUUCUGACCUGCAGCUGUAAGCAAAUACAGUUUGAAGUAAUUAGACUGAAACACCCAAGACUCAGCAACCAAAGCACAGAACAGCUUUUAAUUGAGAAAAGUUCAACUGUACCUUUCUACUCCUUAAAUGGGCUUAAAAGCUUAGGUAGAAGCAUCUGUUUUUUGAAACACACAUGGUUUUUACUAUCCUAUAUUCUUGUUUAGGAGAAGCUCACCAUUGCUACAAUAGCAGCGUAAAUGUACGAAAUGCUUGUGGUCUACCAAAGAAAAGGGAGCACAAGGGCAUUAAAAUCCUUGCAGAAACCAGAGCACAUAGACUGGCACACUCUUUUGGGCCAUGUGUACUGGUUACAAAGCAACAACAACAAAGAUAUUACAACUGCUUUGUUUCUAUGAUUAUGUUUCACCUACAGAUGCCAUUAUUGAAACUUGGUAAGUGUGGAUUUGAUUUUUGCAAGAUUGAAAGAUGCUCUUAUACACGCACAUUAAAUAUUCACUGUGGUUUUUCUUACUAGAGGAUAAGGGGCCACACAAAAGAAAUAUUAAGAGUUAAACCCUGAGGUGAAAACUUAUCUGCAGCCAGUGUUUUCAUACCGUGAGCUCACAUACUCACUGAGCUGCAUGGUAUUUAACGUUUUUGCUUCCAUCCAUUUAAGUGUCCUUUAUGUCCAGCAAUUUUUAGCCAAUCUUUUCUUCCUACUCUCCUCAUCAGACAAGGCUUGGUGUUCCAGAUUUAAUGCAGGUGUUUCUCCCUGAUUCAGUCAGGGAGUCAGACUCAUUUGGGCAACCGAGUUGACUCAUUACUGUUCAAGCAAAUUCCCCAAAAACUAGAAAUACACACAGAAAAGGGAUAGAUACACACCAGAAAGUAACACUCAGAGGCCACUGGUGACAGUAAUUCCCCUUGACAUAGAUGUUGGAGCUGCCUCCAGCUCUGAUAAAAGAGCAUCAGGAGCUAAAAUGCAGCACUGUGUACCUGUGGGGAACCUUCCUGGACUUAGAGUAAAGCCUCAGCACCUCUGAGCCUAGCAACACAGAGCUCCCAGGACAAGGAGCAUCAAGAGCCUGGGCUCCACAGAGCCAGCACUGCACUCUGGGUGGUGAACAGCCUUGUUGAUGCAGACAGGGAGUAAGGGAACCUUAUGAUCUUUCAUUUCUUCCUUCGGUUAACAUCUUACAGUGCACUGAUAUCUUGCCCAGCAGAUACAUCAUCACUACAGUCCCAUCUGGGCUAUCCCAUCCUUUCAGACUACAAGUUAUGAGUAGAGCAGCCUGCCACCAUUUUUAACAGAACCUCAGUGCAGCAACUGUGGCCAAGAUGCAACUAAACACUUUCUGAGUACAGUACUGAAGUUUCAUGCUACAGAUUGGGCACAACCCCUUCCAGAGCUCAAGUUCAGUUGUUAUCACAGGUAUUGUCAGUUCUAUGCUAUAGGGUUUGUAAUCCAGAGAGAAGAUGUGACCUCCUCCCCAGCAGAUGAUACUAGAUUAGUAUUUUAACUGUCUUCAGUAAAUUUGGAUCAGAUUGAGGGUUCUUGCUUGUUCUGCAUCCCAAAGUCCAGCCUAACAACUGUGUCUUCUAUUGACUGCAAUACCAAUUGAUACCUCUCAAUCCAGACCAGGUGUGGAAAACCCCAGAACAUCUCAGCUGUUGUGAACGCUUCACAGCAACAGGCAGCAGAUUACGCAUUCCCAUGGAGGCUGUGAUGGUCCUGCCAAUACCUUCAGGAACAAGCAGUUGGGCUAUGCCAUUGUUUAGGUGACACUAAACAGCUCUGAUCAACCCAAGCAGAGACUGGGCACUGCAGGAGUGUGCAAACAGUAAAGGAGCUCAGAAAUGCAACUGAGGUACUAUUGGUCAGCAAGGUAAAUUGCAUCGCAGCGGCUGCCAAACCACUUGUUUUGCUGUUUGCGUAUUACAUCAACGAUAUUUAGCACUUCCACAGGCUUUACAGAAACACCUCAAUUUUAUCUUCCCGGACUUCAACUAUUUUUUCUUCUCUCCUUUUUUUUUUUUUUUUUUUUUUUUUUUUUUUUUUUUUUAAUUUUUCUCUCUCUCUCUCAGACACUUUGCCUCGUCCUGAAAUGUGAAGAAUAAGUUGUUAUGUGGGAUCUUCAUGCACAUCUUUAGACAUUAUGGCAAGGAAAAUACGACUCACAAUAUUAGUGAUGAAUGCAGCUAAAUUCUAAUCAUUUCCUAAAUAGAAAAACUCACAGAAAUCUGCGAGUGAAGCUACAGCACUGCUGGAAAUACUGAACUGACUUCACACAGCCUAAAGCAGGUUUAAUUUCUUGCUUUUCUAAGAGCAUUACAGUUUAGGCAUCACUGCUUGAAACAUCUGGAAACUUGCAUUAAAAAUUGUUGGACAAACCAUGCUCCAAAGUGCCCGUUUAGAAAUUUCAGCACAGUAAAAAUGGCACAUGGGUCAGAACAGAAUAUCCCAAGUUGGAAGAUACUCACAAGGAACGGCUCAACAAAUUUUGCUCAAGACCAGUGGGAAGAGCUGUGAAGACAGCCAAUUCAUGCAACUUCAUUGCUCCACUCUUGUAGCUGGUAAGGUAGCUACGAGCAUCCUGUCUGACAAGAUGUCUGUGUUUUGCUGGGGUAUGGCUGCAAGCACUGCAUCAGAUAAGUCUCUGCCAUCACUUCCUGGAAAAGCCUUGUUGUUAAGAGCUGCAAUAUCAUGUAUGAUGUUCUAACCACAUCCUGCUAUGAAGAUUUUACAAAGAAUACUGCAGCUGGAGAUAAAUGGACAAAAUAAAUUCCCGUUGGGAACACGACCUGAAAGAACCUUAGUGUCUCUGCAUUAGACAAAACAUUUAUUUUAUCAAUACUUAUGUUGAUAUUGUUUAUUUUUUAUCAGUGUCACACCGAUUACUAAGUUCUUAACAGGAACCAUUUUCAUAUGAAGCCUUUACAUGAAAACUCACCGACUGUUAUCUAAAUGUGUUUCGGAUGCUGAAAAAAUACAUCUCCUAUUGUACCAUAAUAGCGUUUUAAUCAAGUUUACUAAAAUUACUAUUUCUUUUCUUGUCAGCUAAGACAGUUGGGAUUUUCUGAUGGAUUGAACAAAACUGUGAACUUAGCUUCCCAUAUUAUUAGAGCAGGACUACGCCAGCCAAAAAUUCUCAUUGCCUUCUUUGAAAAGUAGUGUAACAGAGCACUACAGCAAGUUUCUUCACUGCAGGACUGAGUGCCAAGAUUUAACUUCAAGAUAAGUCGAGUAUACAGCUCCAGUCAGACAAUAUAACAGGUCUUCUUCUAGUAUAUUUUCAUUCUUCCCAUGUUCCUUUGAUGCUAUAAUUUCCUCUAAGAAAAUGCAGUAUUUAUUUCUGAAAAUACUUUCUUCACAGAUAAUCUGUUCAAAUAUUUUGCAGGUUGCAUGCAAGUAGAAUAUUUUUUUUUUACUAAGAUCCAACUAUCCUAAUUCCACUCCAUCAUUUGGUCCUAUAUGACUUCUUAAUUUUUAUUUGUUUGCUCGUGAUAAAGAGCUUCCUAAGUUUGCCAUUCUCCUUGCACAUCACCUAUAAAGGACAAGCAGCAUGCAGGAAUACUUUGGACCUUCUUCUAAAUAAUACACCAAUAAAGCAUAACGUUCUGCAUGUGAUGGAAGCAAGCAACUGGUUGUUCAUGUAACUUUUUAACCGCUAGUAAGCACAACAGUCAGUAAGGAGUCAUCAAAUUCCAACAUAAAAACCUAAUCAUCAGUUCAGAAAAAAGACAACAACAACCCACAAACCUGCUCUUCCCCCUUCUUGUUCCAACCUCUCCACCUCCUCCAAAAACAAAGAAACCUAAUCUAACUACUAGUUCUAGUACUGCCAGCUGAAUUUCAAUCAAAGAGUUGAAGCCUUCCCUAUCUCAGUCCGGUUUCUAUAAUAGCACGGUCAGACAAACCACUACAGAAGCAAUUCAAAGGUAUGGGUACAAAACCAAAAUAAAUGGGAGGAGCAGUACUGCACAGGGGAGCCUCAUAGCAAAGUCUACACUGACAGAAAGCCUAUGCUAGAGUUCAGAAUCCCAGAAACAGCAAUCCUUUAAAAUACACUAUUGUUAUGUCUUGAUUUGAAGUAAAUCAAGAAAAAAAUCUCUUCUUGAAAAUAUAUCCUUCCAGUACUUCAACCCACACAGUGCCUGGCCUACUUGUUGUGCCACACUUACUUGGCAUCCCACCUAUCUGGUUCACCCAAGUCUAUCACUUGGCCAUGGUCACAACUAUUUGAUCUCUAAAAGACUGCUUUGUUUCAAAGUGCUCUUGAAAUUUCUGUCCUGCCGUUUUACAGUACACAAAUCCACAUGUUAGUCACACAUCAAUUUGGACAGCAUGCCCUGUUACUCAAAAUGCAAUUAGCUCUCCUUAAAGUAAAUGUACGGUAUUGUUUUUAUUUGCAAAGCCAACUUGGUUACCUCUUGGUUUACCUUGGUAAAAAUGCAUUACACAGCCUGGCCAUAAUCAGUUUAGGGGAACUCAUUGUGGGUGAAAGUAGUGACUGAGACAAAGCCAUUGCCAGCAUUUCUCAGCAUAGAAACAGCUGCGUCGAGGACUCCCAUGUGCACGCUGACUGCUGUUAUCCCUACUGAGACUGUUUAGACUGUUUAUGGUAAUGAGACUUCACUUGCAUAAGUGUAGGUUCCAGCAUCUGGUCACGAGAAAAUCAAUUAGUUGUCUACUGCAUUCUCUAGCAGAAAACAAAGACAAACUUCCAAAGUUCAAAUGAAAUUGGUUUGUAAAAGAAAUAGGUUACAAGUUCAUGCAUUUGGAGCCAAAUCUCCUCUAUGCUCACCAGGUUUGCUAUCUGUUACAAGGAAUAGAGGAAAUAGAGGUUUGGCUUUCUAACAAAGAAACAUCCUUAGGGACCUAAGGGGAAAAAAAAGCAUUUCCUGUCUGCUAGUUAAACUGAGAAUACACAGUUGAUCUUGAGAAGCUGCUGCUGCUAUACUCACUCUUCUCUGAAUUACAUCUUUCUGUAUUCAAUUUCCAUAGUUUCAGAUUGUAGACAGAGCUGUUGAAACGACUAAUUGAAAACAAUACAAAAGGAAACAUGGAAGAAUUACACGAAGGUGGUAUUUUCAAUCAAAACCACUUCAGCACUAGGAAUCUAUUCAAGGCUAAGAGCAAUUGCAGCAAAGAAAUAAACUGAAUGUACUCCUAAAGCCAGUGAAGUCCACAAUGUUUUCCUUUCUCUUCACUGCCCAAAUUAAAAUCCAAGGCCAAAACCUUGACUCCAGGCAGGUCGCUGACAUGAUUGCUGUGAUGUAAACAGGCACCAAUUUCACUGCAUUUCCCCUUUCCUCAUCGCCUGAUUCCUGCUGAAGGCUGGCAAGGUCCCAACACCUGCUACACUUGCAACAAGUGUGACUUUUGGCCCUGGCUUCAAUGGAAGAGCUAUUAGGCUCAAACUUUGAGACCAACGGGAAAUGUAGCUAUGUGGAAAUGUCACUACGUAAAAAUUCUUUAUUGCUAUGCAUACCCUGCAGUAUCCAGAUUAAGCAG